GACGAACGCUGGCGGCGCGCUUAACACAUGCAAGUCGAGCGAGAACCGGGGCUUCGGCUCCGGGGAAAGCGGCGAACGGGUGAGUAACACGUGGGUAACCCACCCUUGGUAACCGGAUAGCCCGGGGAAACCCGGAUUAAUACGGAAUGGCCCAACAGCCUCUCGGGGCGGUUGGAAAAGGUAGCUUCGGCCUCCGACCAAGGACGGGCCCGCGGCGGAUUAGCUUGUUGGUGCGGGUAACGGCCCACCAAGGCGACGAUCCGUAGCUGGUCNGAGAGGAUGGCCAGCCACAUUGGGACUGAGAGACGGCCCAGACUCCUACGGGAGGCAGCAGUGGGGAAUCUUGCGCAAUGGCCGAAAGGCUGACGCAGCGACGCCGCGUGUGGGAGGACGCC
rnacentral:rRNA from 1 species